AGCCUGUCCUCUCGGGGACCCCGCCCCGUCUCGCAGCCCAGUGCCCACCGCAGGCGGGAGCGCCCAGCGCGGUGCAGUCACGCCGGGCGCAGCCUGGCAACGCGGCCACAAAGGGAGCCCGGGAGGCGGAAUCUUUCCACAUGCCUGAUCAAUGGGGGCGCGGAGACGGCGGUGCAAACAGGCCUGAGACAGCCGCACAAAGAGGAGGCCCCUCGGCCGCUCCCGCCUUCCAUUGAUCCGGGCCCUUUGUGGCUCGGACAACGGGGGCGCGGGAGGCGCCUCGCAGGGACUUGGCCGUUCUCGUUAGGGGGAGAAAGCCCAGGAGGACCCAUGCCCCACCAGCCCACCCCACCGGUUCACCCUCCUGCGGGCUCCAGGUCUGAGGUCCGGGGGUGUCCACAUCCCCUCUGGAGCACAGGGCAGGGCGCAGGGUGGUGUGGGGCCAGGCCAAGGAGGGUCCUGUAUUCCAGAAAAGUCUGCAGCCUGCCAGUGGGGCCAGCCAUCCAGCUCUGGCUUCCUGAGGACCCCCCAGUCUGCCCUGGCAGGCUUUUCUAUCCCCCUGGUUACAGGCAAGACUUGCACAGUCUUUAUUUUAUUUUUUGUUUAUUGAGCAAAUAUUUAUUGAGCAUUUGCUCCAAGAGGUUCCCACUCUCUCCUGCUCCUAUGGCCACUUAGAGUGGCCAAUUCCUUCUCAAGCAUCACCUCUCUGGGAAAGCAUCCCUGACCCCUCUCCCACCCCCAGAUUGGGUAGGGAGUCUUCCCCCCCACCCCCCAUCUCUCUCUGUGCCUUCCAGUUCCCUACUCUUCAGGAUAGGAACAGCUAUCAAUUCUUGGACAUUUGCUGCGCACAGUGUCAGGCCUCCCCUGGCCCUUUCGCAGACCAUCGCUCCCUACCUCCCACUCCGCCAAGCCGUUUGCCCUCUUUCCACGUCCAAACGCUUUGGCGUCAAAGAAACGCACUUGGGGCCCUGCUCCCCGGAGGCACCUGCGCCUCUGCGGUGGCCCGGGUUCAGCGGAAAUCAAGGCCGAGCCCACGAAGCGCCCGCCCCGGCCGCGGCCCGACCCGGGCCCGGACGAGCCGCAGCUCCCCAGCCCGCGGAGCUAGGGGCCCAGGCCCGGCAGGCGCGGGGCUCCCGGCGAGGCCUCCCUCCGACGUGGGUGGAGUCUGCGCCGGGCCUCGCUCCCGCCCGCUUUCUCCAGGAGUAAUUAAGAGUGAAAUCCUCCUCCUGGUGACCCCGGUGCUCCUGGCCCGGGCUGAUUUACACAUGAAAGGUCUACGGAGGGCCUGGGCUUUCUCCUUUUCACAUUCACAAUGAGGCGCGGCCUAUAAAUAAAACCUCUCUGAGAAACAA